UAGUACGGCGAGUGAAGCGGGAUGAGCUCAAGCUUAAAAUCUCCGUGCAAAUUUUGCAUGGCGAAUUGUAGUCUAUAGAGGCGUGAUUAGCGUAGGCACUUGGGGCAAGUUCCUUGGAAGAGGACAGCAUUGAGGGUGAUACUCCCGUUCCCUCCCGAGUUGCUUAUGCGUAUAAUCCGUUUUCUUUGAGUCGCGUUGUUUGAGAAUGCAGCGCAAAGUAGGUGGUAAAUUCCAUCUAAAGCUAAAUAUUGGUGCGAGACCGAUAGCAAACAAGUACCGUGAGGGAAAGAUGAAAAGAACUUUGAAAAGAGAGUUAAAGAGUACCUGAAACUGCUGAAAGGGAACCAAAUCGUUUCCAGUAUCUAUAAUCCGCGGUAUAUUUCAUUGGCGAAUGUGUGCGUGCAUGUACUAUGGCAGCGGCUUUUUGCUGCGCCUUGUGUGUGUUUCGCAUUUUCUCGCUGGUGCCCUGUACUGUGGUGGGACGUCAAUGUCGGUUCGUAUGCUGCGGGAAAUGACUGCCGAGGAGGUAGGGCGAACGCUUGCGUUUGUCUGUUACAUCUGGGCGGACUUAGUAGUCGUGGUUGGGACUGAGGUGCCUAUAAUGUGCUUAUGAGUGGGAUCGAAUCUCCAUGUGCGCCGUGUGCGGAUAGCUUGCUAUGCGUGUGUAGCUGUGUGUGGAUUGAGUCGAGACGUAACUUAUUGCCGUUCGGGACGUUGACGAAAUGGAGCGAUUUGACCCGUCUUGAAACACGGACCA
rnacentral:rRNA from 1 species